AUUGAACGCUGGCGGCAGGCCUAACACAUGCGAGUCGAGCGGAUGAAGGGAGCUUGCUCCUGGAUUCAGCGGCGGACGGGUGAGUAAUGCCUAGGAAUCUGCCUGGUAGUGGGGGAUAACGUCCGGAAACGGGCGCUAAUACCGCAUACGUCCUGAGGGAGAAAGUGGGGGAUCUUCGGACCUCACGCUAUCAGAUGAGCCUAGGUCGGAUUAGCUAGUUGGUGGGGUAAAGGCCUACCAAGGCGACGAUCCGUAACUGGUCUGGGAGGAUGAUCAGUCACACUGGAACUGAGACACGGUCCAGACUCCUACGGGAGGCAGCAGUGGGGAAUAUUGGACAAUGGGCGAAAGCCUGAUCCAGCCAUGCCGCGUGUGAAGAAGGUCUUCGGAUUGUAAAGCACUUUAAGUUGGGAGGAAGGGCAGUAAGUUAAUACCUUGCUGUUUUGACGUUACCAACAGAAUAAGCACCGGCUAACUUCGUGC
rnacentral:rRNA from 1 species